AUCAUGAACAUUUUCGCAUUUUGUUCUUAUCUCUGGACAUGAUUUUAGAUGGAUCUUGCUAUCUUCCCUAGGCUGGCCUCGAAAGCCUGCUCUUCAGGCUCUGGAGUAGCCACUGUGCCUGGCUAUAUAUACUAAAAUUUGUAAGGAAGGAGAGAAUGUGUGAAGCUCCUGAAGGAAUAUUGUGUCUAGUUGCAGAAGCCUAGAGCUAUUUUUGUUGGAGAUUUCAGAGGCCUACGCAGAGGUAGAACAAUGAGGCUCCACCCGUGGUGAUGCAAAUGAGUGAUUAACCUCUCCCAGCCUUUAUCAUGUAACCUUGAGAAAGUCCCUCAACCUCUUUAAGAUACAAUUUUCUUACUAUGAGUUAGGUUAGUACCUAGCUAUAGGGUGGUUGUGAAAAUGAAUCGAGACAACACAUAUAAAGUACUUACUACAACAUGUAACAUCUAUCAAUUAUUAUGAUUAUAAAUAUCUCCCCGGCAAAUUUGUAUUAUUUUUAAGGAAAGACAUCCUAUUUCAAUCAUCUUACUUUCCCCUUACCCAUCUAGCAUAGUGCUAGGUAUUAUAAAUGUUUGUUCAAUUGAAUUUAUAUGACUUACUAAUUUUCUAUUUCAGACAGUAUAUUUUAAAAAAUAGAAGUAAAUGAGAAACUUAAAGAUACACCUUAGCUCCUAGGAUAUUAAUCAGUACUCAGCAGCAGGUCAAUAAAUGCUUCGUUAGUUGGCUGAAAACACUAAUCUCCACCUAUGCUUUGGAGUCGCUGUUAAAUGAGUAUAAUGAUACAGGAAAUAUUUGCCAAUAGAAUUAAAUUGUUGCCAAAUUUAAACUAUAUUCUAUUUAAUUCAAGAUGCAUCAUGAAUUGUGAUUUUUCUAUUUAAGCCCAAAGCUAGCCAAUAGUUUUAACUCUGGAAUAGAUAUUUUAGCCAAGGCAUUUUAUAUUUGAGUUAGAAUUGUGUCUUUUAUUGUAAUAUUUUUAAUUUGUCAAUGGUUUAAAGUGUCUCAGAAACAUGGAAUUUAAGGGUGCAAAUGUGACUAGAAAACGGAUUAAAACCUUCACUUCCAAUUUAAUCAAAUGCCUUGCUAUAUUUUUACAUAAAACAAUCCAUAAUUGACUUUUAAAAUAUGAAAAUUGGUUUUGGCCAAUGUCCCAUUCAUCUGUUGCUAAGAUCAGACCUCUCUAGGUAAUCUACAUAGGAAUGGAUCAGAGAGGAAAGGGAGUUUAUAAUUGUCAUUGCAGCAUAUGUCAAAUUUAUUGAUUGCUUGCUUUAUGCUAUUCUUUCAUUUUUUAGCAAGCAUAUUUAGCUCUCACAGAAGCCCUAAUAGUAACUGAUGCCAUUAUUAGUCACAUUAUACAGAUGGGACAAGUUAAGUAGAGAGAGAUUAUUUCACCUGUGCAAAUGUUACAGGUAGUUAGAUUGGCAUGAGUGGGGCAGGAGAGGCCUCUUCUCCCCCUACUCACUAGGAGUAUCAGGUGAUGGUUUGACGAUUAUCACACUGCUCUCUAAAAAUAAUAAUUUGGCAGCCAGUGCCUGGGCGCCAGGGAGAAGACAAUCUCCUGACCAUCCACAGCUAUCAAAUCCACAGCUAUCAACACUAAAGAACUAAUUGAAUUGCAGAUGCCAGCGAGAAUAAACUUUCUGGGAAUGUGUGUUAAGAGAUGAAAUGGCAAAAAACGACCUACCAGGUGCACUCCACUGGAGAAGGGAAGAAAGCUUCAGUUGGGUAUGCGUACAACUUCCUAAACGCACUGCGCGUGCUCACUUCCCAAGGGUAAGGAGGGCACUGCGCAUGCGGGAAGCCCAAGCUAAGGGAAGAAUCAUGGGAAAGACCCAAGCCUAUAAAGCCCUAGGAUCAAGGUCAAAGGCUCUCUUUGAUCUUCAGGAGCCCACUUGGAUCUCUUAAGUGAACUUUCCUUUCUUUCCUGUUCGAAAGCCUUUUAAAAUAAACUGCUCCUGCUCUGAAA
rnacentral:lncRNA from 10 species